UCAGUAUGCAGACUGGGGCAGAAGAGAGUUUCAACACAACAUUGAGAACAUUCAGAUGCGUAUCACACUGUUGAAAGAAAACCUCAGCUUAUAACCAGUGUUGGGCACGUUACUUCCAGAAUAAAUAGUCCAGACUCUUGGUGAGGAGACGAGAGGAUGAGGGAGUUUAACUGACUGUGUCUAAAGAUGGAUUUUAUAAUAAGGAGGUCAGCAUUGACGCAGCACUGCUCCAUAAACCACUGGAACCACGCGCUCUAUUGUUUCAUGAUGUGAAAUGGAGCAGCAAGUUGGACAAACACUAGCUGAGCAAUCCCACCAAUCGGUCCCAAAACGUCCCAGUUAGAGAGGAGAUGCUACUGAUUCGUUCACUGUCAAUGGUGAUUCAGUUCAGUUUGAAGAUUCAGUGGCCCCUCUGCUGUCAGGAGACAGGGUCCAGCACGGGGGGGGGGG